AACGCGAAGAACCUUACCUACCCUUGACAUCCCGCGAAUCUGGCAGAGAUGCUGGAGUGCCGAAAGGAACGCGGAGACAGGUGCUGCAUGGCUGUCGUCAGCUCGUGUUGUGAGAUGUUGGGUUAAGUCCCGUAACGAGCGCAACCCUUAUCUUUAGUUGCCAACGCGUCAUGGCGGGGACUCUAAAGAGACUGCUGGUGAUGAACCGGAGGAAGGCGGGGACGACGUCAAGUCAUCAUGGCCUUUAUGGGUAGGGCUACACACGUGCUACAAUGGACGGUACAGAGGGAGGCGAAGCCGCGAGGUGGAGCGAAUCCCAGAAAGCCGUUCGUAGUCCGGAUUGAAGUCUGCAACUCGACUUCAUGAAGUCGGAAUCGCUAGUAAUCGCGAAUCAGAAUGUCGCGGUGAAUACGUUCCCGGGCCUUGUACACACCGCUGUA
rnacentral:rRNA from 1 species